UAUAUAUUUACAUACAAACAACAAUUAUUUAUACAACUACUGUAAAUAACCAUUUAACUUACCAAAACUAUUAUGAGAAUCGUUUACCUCAAGCGAAAUAUGUGAACCCAUGUUGAUUUUAUACAUAUAUAACAUACGA
rnacentral:sRNA from 1 species